CAAUGCGGGUGCUAUACAUGCAGUCGAGCGAACAGACGAGGAGCUUGCUCCUCUGACGUUAGCGGCGGACGGGUGAGUAACACGUGGAUAACCUACCUAUAAGACUGGGAUAACUUCGGGAAACCGGAGCUAAUACCGGAUAACAUGUUGAACUGCAUGGUUCAACAGUGAAAGACGGUCUUGCUGUCACUUAUAGAUGGAUCCGCGCCGCAUUAGCUAGUUGGUAAGGUAACGGCUUACCAAGGCAACGAUGCGUAGCCGACCUGAGAGGGUGAUCGGCCACACUGGAACUGAGACACGGUCCAGACUCCUACGGGAGGCAGCAGUAGGGAAUCUUCCGCAAUGGGCGAAAGCCUGACGGAGCAACGCCGCGUGAGUGAAGAAGGUCUUCGGAUCGUAAAACUCUGUUAUUAGGGAAGAACAAAUGUGUAAGUAACUAUGCACGUCUUGACGGUACCUAAUCAGAAAGCCACGGCUAACUACGUGCCAGCAGCCGCGGUAAUACGUAGGUGGCAAGCGUUAUCCGGAAUUAUUGGGCGUAAAGCGCGCGUAGGCGGUUUUUUAAGUCUGAUGUGAAAGCCCACGGCUCAACCGUGGAGGGUCAUUGGAAACUGGAAAACUUGAGUGCAGAAGAGGAAAGUGGAAUUCCAUGUGUAGCGGUGAAAUGCGCAGAGAUAUGGAGGAACACCAGUGGCGAAGGCGACUUUCUGGUCUGUAACUGACGCUGAUGUGCGAAAGCGUGGGGAUCAAACAGGAUUAGAUACCCUGGUAGUCCACGCCGUAAACGAUGAGUGCUAAGUGUUAGGGGGUUUCCGCCCCUUAGUGCUGCAGCUAACGCAUUAAGCACUCCGCCUGGGGAGUACGACCGCAAGGUUGAAACUCAAAGGAAUUGACGG
rnacentral:rRNA from 1 species